GAUGAACGCUAGCGGCAGGCUUAAUACAUGCAAGUCGAGGGGCAGCAGGUCUGUAGCAAUACAGAUGCUGGCGACCGGCAAACGGGUGCGGAACACGUACGCAACCUUCCUUCAAGUGGGGAAUAGCCCAGGGAAACUUGGAUUAAUACCUCGUAAGAUUAUGAAGUGGCAUCACUUUUAUAAUUAUAGCUCAGGCGCUUGAAGAUGGGCGUGCGGCNGAUUAGGUAGUUGGCGGAGUAACAGCCCACCAAGCCUGCGAUCAGUAACUGGUGUGAGAGCACGACCAGUCACACGGGCACUGAGACGACGGGCCCGACUCCUACGGGAGGCAGCAGUAAGAAUAUUGGUCAAUGGACGCAAGUCUGAACCAGCCAUGCCGCGUGGAGGAUGAA
rnacentral:rRNA from 1 species